AUGGAUCGUGGCGGCUCAUCCCUUUCUGAUCAUCUCUCCUCCUCUUCAUCUCGUCAACAGCGCCCUGUUUCUCGACCUUCGUCGUCGUCUCAACUUUUCGAAUCAUCACCUUCACCGCUUCGGAAGAGAUUGGAGAGUGUUACCUACCGGAGAACUCUGGCGGCUCUUCACAGCAGCGAAUAUAAUGAGAAAGUAAGAGAGAAAUCUUCAGAACAUCAGAUGUUGUCAUUGUUGAAUUCACGGCGACGGUGA